CCCUUAGAUGUCCGGGGCCGCACGCGCGCUAAACUGAAGGAAUCAGCGUGGCUUUCUCCCUGACCCGAAAGGGUUGGGAAACCCGUUGAAUCUCCUUCGUGAUAGGGAUUGGGGCUUGAAAUUGUUCCCCAUGAACGAGGAAUUCCCAGUAAGCGCGAGUCAUAAGCUCGCGUUGAUUACGUCCCUGCCCUUUGUACACACCGCCCGUCGCUACUACCGAUUGAACGGUUUAGUGAGGGCCUCGGAUUGGUCUCGGCCCGCUCUUUACCGGGCGGCGCCGUUGGUCGAGAAGACGCUCGAACUUGAUCGUUUAGAGGAAGUAAAAGUCGUAACA
rnacentral:rRNA from 1 species